rnacentral:rRNA from 1 species
UACGAAGGGGGCUAGCGUUGUUCGGAAUUACUGGGCGUAAAGCGCGCGCAGGCGGUUCUUCAAGUCAGUGGUGAAAGCCCGGAGCUCAACUCCGGAAUUGCCAUUGAAACUGUAGAACUUGAGUACGAGAGAGGUGAGUGGAAUUCCCAGUGUAGAGGUGAAAUUCGUAGAUAUUGGGAAGAACACCGGUGGCGAAGGCGGCUCACUGGCUCGUAACUGACGCUAAGGCGCGAUAGCGUGGGGAUCAAACAGG